CUACAUAAUGGGCAAACUUAUUGUAAAGUAAGGACGCAAAGCUAUAGGGCCCAGUUGGCAUGGGCAGCCAGUUGCCAUG
rnacentral:ncRNA from 1 species